UUGAGUGAUAACAUACUACAUCAUAUAGGCAAGCUGUUUUUGCAUGGUAGACAUUCACUUUCCACUGCGUACAGUGACUCUACAGUCAGUUUUACCCCCACCAUAAGCUCAUGCAUGCUGCUUCAUCAGCUCACGCACAGCACGACGGUGGUAGCGUGCUCAUUCUAGCAUGUCUUGAUGACUUAUCCUAAUCCUUAUGUUUUAGGCAAAUACCAAUAGCUGAAUCAAUCUCCAGUGUGAAGGCAUUCCCCUUGUUUCUCCUCUUUUUUUGCUCGAAUUUUAAUGAAGACAACGCAGGAGAUCCAAUCGCAAGGUGGGAGAGACCACUCGCAGACAGAUGGAGGGUGUCGUUGAUGGUAUAGAUGGAGAGCGCUCAUGGCUUCCUCUCUCCCUCCCCUCUUCCCGUUCCCCCUCUCGUCAGCACUCUCCCGUGGGUGGUACGACCUGGCAGAUUACAAAACACCCCUCCCAUGUGUCUCUCUACUCUCUGUGCCAGGGUGAGGCUACUGAUCUCAUACUCCUGGAGCGUGUGAGUGUGUGAGUGGAGUUAGGAAGCAAGGAUGGAGAAAGAGACAUAGUGAACAAGAGCAAGAGGAAGGAAGUAUGAAUGAGAGUGUGUGUGAGAUUAGCGCUGGGAAGCUCGUGGAAGCGACGGGACACAAGCAACACUACUGUCUGCAAAGAUCAUGAGGGUAUCCGAGGGCAGUCAGAAUGGCGCUUCCUGAAUGAGGUUACACAAUACUUUCUAAAGGUGCCACGCCUGCCCAGCACACAGAUACUCUCAGACUCUCAGACCUGUCUGGAUACAGAAAGGUCCAGAUAAGCCCCAGCCUACGGUUAGGCAUCUAUUUAAGAAUUUAUCUUCAAUCGUUUCAGCAUGCGUUGAAGAGAAUUUAAAUUCGCAUAAUAGGUUGGGAAUCGCAAUGAAUCUAGACUAGUAUUUCUAUUAGCGAAAUUAGACAAAGCAGAAACAGCAUUCAGCAUUGCUAACCGCUUCACACCGAACAACAGCAUGUAAUGAGUGAUAAAGACGGCCAUUUUGUGUCUAGAGGCUGUCCCUUACUGUCUGAGUACAGCAGGGAACACAGAAAUGGAGAAACAGUCGUGCAGCGUGGAAUCAGAUCGGCUUAAAUUUAUCCUCCUGCAUUCUGUUACUUAAUUGUUUUAGUUAUUAGAUUUAGUCUUUAGAAUCUUUAUUAGAUAUUUUGAAUCUCUGUUAUAUUCCAAACAUUGGGAAACAUGUUUGAAGAAGUAAAACAGGAGAUUUGUCUCUAUUAGAGGCAGUGUUGUUUAACGCAGCACACAUUCUCGGGGACUAUCACUGCAUGUCAUGCGUUUACUGGCAGUCCGGAGAUCACAAGGCCAUCAGACAAGGCAGUUUGUGUGUGUGUGUGUGUGUGUGUGUGUGUGUGUGUGUGUGUGUUUGUGGUUUGGAGCUGUUUAGUGUAUGCAGCAAGAUUCAGACCAGUAGCUCGUCACAAGAUUUCACUAGUAAUGAGCAAACUGCCUUCUGGCUUAACAGAGUCAAGAAAUAGAUGUGCUGACUGAAGGUAUUAGAUUAUUUUCACAGUUAAUUUCUUUCUUAUUAUUGACAUUAACAUGUAUUUCCCUUUGCUUGAUA
ensembl:lncRNA